AGCGAACGCUGGCGGCAGGCCUAACACAUGCAAGUCGAACGGAUCCUUCGGGAUUAGUGGCGGACGGGUGAGUAACACGUGGGAACGUGCCCUUUGGUUCGGAACAACUCAGGGAAACUUGAGCUAAUACCGGAUGUGCCCUUCGGGGGAAAGGUUUAUCGCCAUUGGAGCGGCCCGCGUCUGAUUAGCUAGUUGGUGAGGUAAGGGCUCACCAAGGCGACGAUCAGUAGCUGGUCUGAGAGGAUGAUCAGCCACAUUGGGACUGAGACACGGCCCAAACUCCUACGGGAGGCAGCAGUGGGGAAUCUUGCGCAAUGGGCGAAAGCCUGACGCAGCCAUGCCGCGUGAAUGAUGAAGGUCUUAGGAUUGUAAAAUUCUUUCACCGGGGACGAUAAUGACGGUACCCGGAGAAGAAGCCCCGGCUAACUUCGUGCCAGCCGCCGCAGUAACAC
rnacentral:rRNA from 1 species